rnacentral:rRNA from 1 species
AACGCACAUAGCGCCCGCCAGCACUCUGGCGGGCAUGCCCGUCCGAGCGUCGAUUACGCCGCUCGAGCCCGCGCCAACCCCCUGGGGGAGGCGCCGGGCUCGGUGUUGGGGCGCUAGGUCCGCAGCGGCCUAGGCCCCCAAAUCCAUUGCGCGGCCCCUGCCGCGGGACCUGAGCACAGUAGACAACCUCCAUCGUUGAGCUGCUCCGGGCCCCGCGCGGCGGCGCCAGCCGUAAAAACCCCCAGCACAGGCCCCCUCCAGGGCCGCCUGAUGUUGACCUCGGAUCGGGUAGGACGACCCGCUGAACUUAA